rnacentral:lncRNA from 1 species
CUAUUUAGAAAACUGUCACUUGUCAAUCCAUACCCAUGUUCAAAACUUUAUUGUAAUCAUAUGAAGCAGAAGUUCUGUCACUUGUUGUUUACACUUGAACAUGCAUCACUGUAGUGAAGAGUCAAUCAUAUAUCAAAGACCACUGAGAAUGUUUUGAAGGUCUAGAGAAUGUUUUGAAGGUCACUAGUGAAGUAUAUAAUUCAAAUCCAAUCCUGUGCACAGUUAAUGAUAUACCACACUGUUCGAGAAUAUCAGUUUGAGUAUGAGGUAUCACAAGUUUAGUUUUGUACAUAUUGUGUGCCAUUGAUCUGAUCCAUCCAUAUAAUAUAUGGUUAUUGUAGCUGUUAAGUUAUCCAUACUAAUGAAUUUAGGUAAUAUUGUCUUGCAAGUGGGUUGUUCUGACAAAAUUAUCUAGCCAAUAUCCAGUACAUCUAUUCAUCAUUCUUGCAUUAAUUUCUAAACAAAAACAUUUAUGUUAGAAAGCAAAAUAACAAUAUAAUGAGGAGGGAGAGUGGG